AGAAGAAGCACCGGCUAACUCCGUGCCAGCAGCCGCGGUAAUACGGAGGGUGCGAGCGUUAAUCGGAAUUACUGGGCGUAAAGCGCAUGCAGGCGGCCUGUUAAGUCAGAUGUGAAAGACCCGGGGCGUUAACCUCGGAAUUGCAUUUGAAACUGGCAGGCUAGAGUCUUGUAGAGGGGGGUAGGAAUUUCAGGUGUAGCGGUGAAAUGCGUAGAGAUCUGAAGGAAUACCAGUGGCGAAGGCGGCCCCCUGGACAAAGACUGACGCUCAGAUGCGAAAGCGUGGGGAGCAAACAGGAUUAGAUACCCCUGGUAG
rnacentral:rRNA from 1 species